UCAGCAUGCGGCCCACUUUUGGCUCAGACACCAGCCCCGAUACAACCCGACUCUCCAGGAAUACUGCAGAGGCUGGCAGAUAAAGCCAGUAAAGCCAAAGCUAAAGUCCAGGGCUGGGGAGAACCAGUGGCGGGCUUUAUUGGUGCUUACUAUGAAGACCACAUCCAACCAGUGACUGACAGCUGCGUUCAAUGGGCCUCUCGUCUCAAAAGCUCCGUGUCGGAGACGAUCCAGACAAGCCACUGAAAGCAACCAAUCCAACUGAUCAACCUCCUCAGAACUAAAGAAAAGCUGACAAUAAAUGAAUAUUCUUACCACUCGAUGGUGAACUGA